rnacentral:rRNA from 1 species
UACGUAGGGUGCGAGCGUUGUCCGGAAUUAUUGGGCGUAAAGAGCUCGUAGGCGGCUUGUCGCGUCGGAUGUGAAAGCCCGGGGCUUAACUCCGGGUCUGCAUUCGAUACGGGCAGGCUAGAGUUCGGUAGGGGAGAUCGGAAUUCCUGGUGUAGCGGUGAAAUGCGCAGAUAUCAGGAGGAACACCGGUGGCGAAGGCGGAUCUCUGGGCCGGUACUGACGCUGAGGAGCGAAAGCGUGGGGAGCGAACAGG